UAGAGGAGCCCAUGGCACUAUGCCCCACCAGCUUGGUCCCACGUUGCCAUCCAGGCCAAUGAAGGAUCACCCAGCAGUGCAGGAAGAAAGUUAAUGACCUUCUGUGAACCUGAAAUUCACCAAUGGCAUCUAUAUACAGUAGUCAUCUCCAUGAAGAGAUCAGCCUCCCACGUCAUCAUCUUGUUCUCCAUCGCUGAGCAAUAGCUACAGACCCCUCAGAGGAAGCACAAGCAAGGCUGACUCUUGCAUCUUCCACAGUUCACCCUGAUUCCUCAGUUGAAUCCUAAAUAGCUGGAUGCAGCCAGGAGCUGAUUCUGGUGCGCAUACUACUGGCAUGUCUCUGCAGCUGACAGAGGAAGAAACAUCACAGAACCCUGGCAUUCAGAGGUCUGCCAGAGACCAGGCACCUGCUCAGCCUCUGGCAGGAGACUGCACGCGCUGUUUGCCAUUGGCAACUUUAUUCAAAGGCAAUAGCAGACAUACGAACAGCAGGCACGUUUGUCAGAAGCACUUCAAGAUUGGGGAGUCAGCCAACACUAUCUGUAACAUGAUGUGUCUGGCAUGUGAGUGUCUGGCUGUGUCCAUGAACAAUUUAGUAGCUGCCAUGGAAACCCAGGUUUGGCACAGUCAAUAUCUGGCACCCUGAUCUGCAUCUCCACUCACGGGCCCCCACAUUAUUCUCCAUUUAGGACAUUCCAGAGGUGACUGCGCCCUCUAUGUCCAUGCUGCCUGCAAUCGCUGACCCUCUGCAAGUUAAGGCUGAGGAAGGUAAACUUGUAUCUGGGCAGGACAUUCUCAGGAGGUUCUUUGGGGUUGCCCCACCAAAUUCUCAAGACCAAAAGGUUCCAGGAUAGGACAGGCUUGCUCUACCCCAGCUGCGGAUACCUUGGCUGCACCUAUGUGUGAUUAGAGAGAAAGAUGACAUAAUAACAGUUGCAGCUGUUGCUGUUGGCUCCUGAUCCAUGAGCCAUACAAGAAACAUAGCCCUACUAUCUGGAAUUCUUUCAAACAACAGGUACUUUGCAUGUUUAUGGAAUAACAUAGAUAUUUCAGAAAUAAGGGUGAAAUCAAAAUAAUGUAAAGAACAUCAGCUGUAAUAGGAAUAUUUGAAGCACAACUAUAGUCUUGCAAUUUGCACUAUUUGUUGUAAAACAUUCAACAAUUUUUAGCUGCAUUUUGUGUAUUUGUGACAUGUAACAGUACUGUUUUAUAGUCAAAAAUACUGCUCCUUACUAAAUUAGACAGAAUUACUGUAAGAUACAAUCAACCGCAUAUUGCCUAAAGAAUACUGCAGUUAAAAAGAUUGCUGUCCACAAGAUAUAUUUAUCUUCUACACGAUAUAUUGGAAGUCUUGCGCAAUAGACUGGCAAAAAAUUCUCCACACAUAAAUAAUGCCUAAUGCCAUAUAGAUCAUUCUCAGUUAAAAAGCCAUUUAAUCAAUUAUAAAUAUGUAUAAUAUGUCAAAAAUGAGCUUGAUAUCAUCCUUUGAAGUCCUAUAAAUAAUUUGAAAUUCAUAUUACAUUUUCUUUUUGCUUUAUGUGGCAUGACAAUAGAGAAUAACUGAUUUGGUAAAAUUAUAAUAAAUCCUUAUCACACUAUUUCCUUUUUACCCUAAAACUUGAAAUACAACAGUUACUACAUUUAGAAAAUCAACAUCUUAAAUGUUAGCAGUUUAUCUAGUUGGGAAGAAGUACAUUGUAAUUUGUAUAAUAACCAAAGGCAAUUGUUGUGGAAUUUAUAAAGCAUUUUACAUGUAAGUAAAUAUUUUCACCUAUUAAUAUUCUCUAAUAAUACCAGACAGUUUGGCAUUCUGCUAAUUAUUUACACUAUCUAUCUGUUUUUGCAUAAGGCAUACAUUAUUGUUAGGGGGAAGCAUAUCAUACUGAAUUUUGAUGUAUUCCUCAUGAUAUGAAGUUUUGCAGUAAUUCCCCAAAUCAUCCACCAUAAUGUCAAGUGGAUGAGACUUGGAAAAUCAGAAGAAAACCCAAGAGUAUACAUUAAUACUUAGGACUACUUUCCUAAAAAGUAGAAUGCCUUUUCCCCUAAAGUGAAAGUUUCUUCUGAACUUCUGAAUGCUUCAGUUAUAUAUGUAGGAUUUUUCAGCCCAUUGAGGUUUUAAUGGCUUUCAUGUGCUUUGUGAUAAUUAAUGGAUCUGUAGCUUACUGUAUGCUGCCAAAUUUCUGUAAUCUGUGAAAAAUAUAUUCUUGAGAAUGUUGGCUUUUUUGGACAUAAGCUGCAUGUCUGAUGUUAUCAAAUUGUAAUUCAUGAAUUUGACUAUAUUUUAAGGCAAAGAUUUUGGGUGAAUUUUUACUAGUGCAAUUUGUAUGCAAGGACACAUUUAUUCUUGACUGCAUAAGCAUCACCUACAUUUUAGCCCAUUAACACAUAAUAUUUAUUUCUAAUCCUACAGAUGGUUAAUGUGUAUAUAAAUCAGCACAUGCAAAGGGAGAUUAGUUUCUCACCAUUUCUCUCCCAUCCCCUGCUCCUUCCCACAUACAUACACACAGCAUAUAUAAAUAUUAGAUUAUGAAGCUCUAUUUGAUUUAUGUCAUUAGACUAACUCAAUACACAUGACCAAUAUAACUGGAACAUAAAUUAUACCCCACGAGCUUUCAUAAAUAAGUUUUAACAUAUUGUACAGGUAUUAGAGAUGGGUUUCAUUGAACAUCUGACCGAGUACUAUAAGAAAUUAGUUUAUAAAAAACAUAGUAUUUUAAAAGUUCAGUUUCAAAUAUGCCUAAGAUAGGACAGAGUCUUAGUUAAGCAAGUAUUUGGAAUUAUUGAUAAAUCACAAAAACGUACUUUUAACUCUAACUCAAAUGAAGAUGUGACCUUGUAUGCAACCACUAGCUGUAUGUAUAUUUCUAGAUCAUCAUGUUGUUAUGUUCCUAAAGAUUUACAUGUCAGUUGAAUUUACUGAUGCUAUGUUUAAUUGUUUAUUAAGACCAAAACAAUCUCAAUUUAAUUUCUUAAAAUUGAAAUGUAAUUGUUACAUCUUAUCAGGAGUUAGUUGGUACAGUGCACAUAAAAACAGCUUUCUCACUAUUUUUAAUUUAAUUGAGUGCUGAUGGCAGAAAUAAGUUUGACAAUAUGUCGAGACAAAAAAAAACUGCAGAUGCUGGAAUCCAGUGUUCAGCAGGAAAACAUGCAGUGGGUCAGCCCAUACCUGAAAGAGUGAUUGAUCUACUGUCAAAGAUUUCUGAUAAAAUGUCAACUUAUUUAAAGAUUCUUAUCUGGUUGGCCUGGAAUUAAUUUUUGAUAUAACAUAUUUCUGCUAGAAAAUCAUAUUCAGGAUAGAGUCAGUUAAUUCCCAUAUUAACAAAACACUUGAGAAGUCACUGAUCAAAUUAAGGAAGUUUGAUCAGCUUGAUCAGCUUCCCUUCAGGGAAACAGAUUAGUCACAUUAACUACUUUAUCGGGCUAAAUCUUUUUUUGGCUGCUAUUUUUGUUGAGUUUUGUGGAGGGUUUAUCUCUGUGAGGCCUUAUGGGUUUUCUCACUGCAUCUCACCAAACGCGUCUCAUUAAUGACCUGCCCUCCUCUUUGGUGCCUCUCUCGUUCAGUUCUAGCCCCACUCUAUCA